AGCGUAGACGGUGUGGCAAGUCUGGUGUGAAAGGCAUGGGCUCAACCUGUGGACUGCAUUGGAAACUGUCAUACUUGAGUGCCGGAGGGGUAAGCGGAAUUCCUAGUGUAGCGGUGAAAUGCGUAGAUAUUAGGAGGAAUACCGAUUGCGAAGGCGAUCUACUGGAACAUUAUUGACGCUGAGAUGCGAAAGCGUGGGGAGCAAACA
rnacentral:rRNA from 1 species